rnacentral:rRNA from 1 species
CCAAUAGCGUAUAUUAAAGUUGUUGCAGUUAAAAAGCUCGUAGUUGAAUUUCGGGGUUAGUAGGUUGGUCAUGCCUCUGGUAUGUACUGGUCUCACUGAUUCCUCCUUCCUGAUGAACUGUAAUGCCAUUAAUUUGGUGUUGCGGGGAAUCUGGACUGUUACUUUGAAAAAAUUAGAGUGUUUAAAGCAGGCUAACGCUUGAAUACAUUAGCAUGGAAUAAUGAAAUAGGACGUUCGAUCCUAUUUUGUUGGUUUCUAGGAUUGACGUAAUGAUUAAUAGGGAUAGUUGGGGGCAUUAGUAUUCAAUUGUCAGAGGUGAAAUUCUUGGAUUUAUUGAAGACUAACUACUGCGAAAGCAUUUGCCAAGGAUGUUUUCAUUAAUCAAGAACGAAAGUUAGGGGAUCGAAGACGAUCAGAUACCGUCGUAGUCUUAACCAUAAACUAUGCCGACUAGGGAUCGGAUGAUGUUAAUUUUUUAAUGACUCAUUCGGCGCCUUACG